AUUGAACGCUGGCGGCAGGCCUAACACAUGCAAGUCGAACGAGUGGCGGACGGGUGAGUAAUGUCUGGGAAACUGCCUGAUGGAGGGGGAUAACUACUGGACACGGUCGCUAAUACCGCAUACCAUCAGAUGUGCCCAGAUGGGAUUAGCUAGUUGGUGGGGUAAGGGCUCACCAAGGCGACGAUCCCUAGCUGGUCUGAGAGGAUGACCGGCAACACGGGAACGGGAACAGGGUCCAGACUCCUACGGGAGGCAGCAGUGGGGAAUAUUGAAAAGGGGGGGCAGGCCUAAUGAAGCCAUGCCGGGUGUAUGAAGAAGGCCUUCGGGUUGUAAAGUACUUUCGGCGGGAGGACGUUACCCGAGAAAGAGGCACCGGCUAACUCCGGGCCGGCGGCCGCGGUAAUU
rnacentral:rRNA from 1 species